rnacentral:rRNA from 1 species
ACUGAACGCUGGCGGCAGGCCUAACACAUGCAAGUCGAGCGGUUGACGGGAGCUUGCUCCCUGAUUCAGCGGCGGACGGGUGAGUAAUGCCUAGGAAUCUGCCUAUUAGUGGGGGACAACGUUUCGAAAGGAACGCUAAUACCGCAUACGUCCUACGGGAGAAAGCAGGGGACCUUCGGGCCUUGCGCUAAUAGAUGAGCCUAGGUCGGAUUAGCUUGUUGGUGAGGUAAUGGCUCACCAAGGCGACGAUCCGUAACUGGUCUGAGAGGAUGAUCAGUCACACUGGAACUGAGACACGGUCCAGACUCCUACGGGAGGCAGCAGUGGGGAAUAUUGGACAAUGGGCGAAAGCCUGAUCCAGCCAUGCCGCGUGUGUGAAGAAAGUCUUCGGAUUGUAAAGCACUUUAAGUUGGGAGGAAGGGUUGUAGAUUAAUACUCUGCAAUUUCGACGUUACCGACAGAAUAAGCACCGGCUAACUCUGUGCCAGCCGCCGCGGUAA